rnacentral:snRNA from 1 species
GACAACAAUGUGUUCCAACCUAAU